rnacentral:rRNA from 1 species
CCCUACGGGGGGCAGCAGUAGGGAAUCUUCCACAAUGGACGAAAGUCUGAUGGAGCAACGCCGCGUGAGUGAAGAAGGGUUUCGGCUCGUAAAGCUCUGUUGGUAGUGAAGAAAGAUAGAGGUAGUAACUGGCCUUUAUUUGACGGUAAUUACUUAGAAAGUCACGGCUAACUACGUGCCAGCAGCCGCGGUAAUACGUAGGUGGCAAGCGUUGUCCGGAUUUAUUGGGCGUAAAGCGAGUGCAGGCGGGUCAAUUAGUCUGAAGUGAAAGCCUUCCGCUCAACCGGAGAAUUGCAUCAGAAAAU